CCUCCUCUCUUCCUCCUCUCCCCACGCACACCCUCUUUCUUCUCCCUCGUCUUCCUCUCCUUUUCCUCAUCUCCUCUUAAUAUCUUUCCUCGUCUCCUCCCCUUGGCGAGGAACAACAGCAGCAACAGCGUACAGGAGGAGGAGAAGCAAGGAAGCAGCGGCAGCAGCAGCUCUGGCCGCCGUUGCGACGGGAGGAGCACGAAAAACGGCAGCCCCGACUGCCGUUGCAAGCUUCGGCCAUGACGCGGUGGCGCGGCGCGGUGCAGCAGCUUGGAUGCGUCGUUAGCUCCCCGCCGACGUCGACGGCCUGCAAACUUCUGGUCCAGGUGUAGAGGUUGGUCCUCGAGCUGCGUGGUAAGGUAGUGCUCGCCAACGCGGUCAGUGCGGCACUACGGCGACCAGCACGGGUGCAUGGCGGGGCGCACGAGAUGGGAGCGCCGGCGACUGGAUUUGACCACGAUUGGAUCUGGGACGGGUCGGGCGGCGCAACUUUUUUUUGUUUUUAUUCACUCCUUUUAUCGAGUGGUGCUCUCGGCAAACCAUCGGUGCCACGUGGAUACGGUGCAGUUUACGCGUUUCGUCUGAUCACCUUUGUUUGCCGAGUGACAGUGUUUGGCUCUCGGUAAAGUCUUUGCCGAGUGUCCGAUAAAUGGCUCUUGGCAAAAAUCUGUUUGCCAGAGAGAUGUAUGCCGGGUAGUCUUUGCUGAGAACAAUUCUCGGCAAAGGAUUUGCUGAGUGUAUUUGACCCUUUGCUGAGUGUUUCUCGCACUCGGUAAACAAGUGGAUUCGUUAACUUGCUUUGUCAACAUUCGCACUAUGAAAUUAAUAUUAUUAGAUGCAUAAUAGAAUUAAUUUUCAUAACAUAUAACUUUUGUAUUAUAGAUGUUGAUAUUUUUUUCUAUAAACUUAGUCAAACUUUAUAAAGUUUGUCUUUGAGCAAAUAUUAUAUGUAAACUAAAAAGAAAUGGAGGAGUAGUAGCCUGCACCCAAGACCCGGAAUCUUGAAUGGCUUAUUUUUACUUAUAUUUCAAAAAAGAGGUUGAAACCAAGAAUUGCUGCCGGAGAGGACCCCUCCCCACACCCACCGUCUCUAGAUCAUGGAGCCCGAGUCUGCCCACGAAAAACGGGGUCCACGAGUGAAACCAAUGACGACCCGUGUAUAGGAAUAGGAGGCACGUGAAUCCGCCCUGCUAGGGAGCUCCAAGUUAGGAUCUGGAAAUGUCCGCCGAUGCGGCGCACCCUGAAAAAACAUGAGCCGACGGGACAGUCAAGGUUUUUCACCCGGGGCCCUGACUCGGCAAGAGGGCCACAACAACACCCUCAAGAGGGACGCGACACCCACAGGCAUCGCCUUCACUGGCGCCGGAGCGCAAGGCUUUUGCCCGACACUUCUCACCCACGCCACACUGAGGAGUCCCGAGCACCUGCCCACUGAUGUCUACUAUGCAACCUUCUUCUUGUGGACUCGUGUUGGGCCUCCAAGCGCAGAGUUUUGUAGGACAGUACCAGUUUUCCCUCAAGUGGAUGACCUAAGGUUUAUCAAUCCGCGGGAGGCGUAUGAUGAAGAUGGUCUCUCUCAAACAACCCUGCAAC
rnacentral:rRNA from 1 species